GAUGAACGCUGGCGGCGUGCCUAAUACAUGCAAGUCGAGCGAACAGAUGAGGAGCUUGCUCCUCUGACGUUAGCGGCGGACGGGUGAGUAACACGUGGAUAACCUACCUAUAAGACUGGGAUAACUUCGGGAAACCGGAGCUAAUACCGGAUAAUAUAUUGAACCGCAUGGUUCAAUAGUGAAAGACGGUUUUGCUGUCACUUAUAGAUGGAUCCGCGCCGCAUUAGCUAGUUGGUAAGGUAACGGCUUACCAAGGCAACGAUGCGUAGCCGACCUGAGAGGGUGAUCGGCCACACGGGAACUGAGACACGGUCCAGACUCCUACGGGAGGCAGCAGUAGGGAAUCUUCCGCAAUGGGCGAAAGCCUGACGGAGCAACGCAGCGUGAGUGAUGAAGGUCUUCGGAUCGUAAAACUCUGUUAUUAGGGAAGAACAAAUGUGUAAGUAACUAUGCACGUCUUGACGGUACCUAAUCAGAAAGCCACGGCUAACUACGU
rnacentral:rRNA from 1 species